UAGGGAAUCUUCCACAAUGGACGAAAGUCUGAUGGAGCAACGCCGCGUGAGUGAAGAAGGGUUUCGGCUCGUAAAACUCUGUUGUUAAAGAAGAACAUAUCUGAGAGUAACUGUUCAGGUAUUGACGGUAUUUAACCAGAAAGCCACGGCUGACUACGUGCCAC
rnacentral:rRNA from 1 species